rnacentral:rRNA from 1 species
UACGAAGGGGGCUAGCGUUGCUCGGAAUCACUGGGCGUAAAGCGCACGUAGGCGGAUCGUUAAGUCAGGGGUGAAAUCCUGGAGCUCAACUCCAGAACUGCCUUUGAUACUGGCGAUCUUGAGUUCGGGAGAGGUGAGUGGAACUGCGAGUGUAGAGGUGAAAUUCGUAGAUAUUAGGAAGAACACCAGUGGCGAAGGCGGCUUACUGGUCCGGUACUGACGCUGAGGUGCGAAAGCGUGGGGAGCAAACAGG